UGGGGAAUAUUGCACAAUGGGCGCAAGCCUGAUGCAGCCAUGCCGCGUGUAUGAAGAAGGCCUUCGGGUUGUAAAGUACUUUCUGCGGGGAGGAAGGGAGUAAAGUUAAUACCUUUGCUCAUUGACGUUACCCGCAGAAGAAGCACCGUCUAACUCCGUGCCAGCAGCCGCGGUAAUACGGAGGGUGCAAGCGUUAAUCGGAAUUACUGGGCGUAAAGCGUACGCAGGCGGUUUGUUAAGUCAGAUGUGAAAUCCCCGGGCUCAACCUGGGAACUGCAUCUGAUACUGGCAAGCUUGAGUCUCGUAGAGGGGGGUAGAAUUCCAGGUGUAGCGGUGAAAUGCGUAGAGAUCUGGAGGAAUACCGGUGGCGAAGGCGGCCCCCUGGACGAAGACUGACGCUCAGGUGCGAAAGCGUGGGGAGCAAACAGG
rnacentral:rRNA from 1 species